rnacentral:misc_RNA from 1 species
GAUGAAGAACGUAGCGAAAUGCGAUACGUAAUGUGAAUUGCAAAUUCAGUGAAUCAUCGAGUCUUUGAACGCACAUUGCGCCCCCUGGUAUUCCGGGGGGCAUGCCUGUCCGAGCGUCAUUGCUGCCCUCAAGCACGGCUUGUGUGUUGGGCCCCGUCCUCCGAUCCCGGGGGACGGGCCCGAAAGGCAGCGGCGGCACCGCGUCCGGUCCUCGAGCGUAUGGGGCUUUGUCACCCGCUCUGUAGGCCCGGCCGGCGCUUGCCGAUCAACCCAAAUUUUUAUCCAGGUUGACCUCGGAUCAGGUAGGGAUACCCACUGAACUUAAGCAUAUCAAUAAGCGGAGGA